rnacentral:misc_RNA from 1 species
AAAAAUUGAGAUUUGAGGGGUAAGAGAGGGUUACCCUUACUUACCCCUACCUCCAUUAACUCAACUCUUCCCAAAUAAGGGUAAAAUAAUUAAUUAUCCUUCCUUACCUUUAUUUACCCUCCCUCACCUUCAUCCAAACAGACCUUUAAUUUCAAUUCUAAUUAAAUUUUAUGAAAAAUGGAAGAUGUGACUUCAAUUUGCCUAAUUCAGCUACAGAGAUAACUAGUGUGUAAGUGGAUCUUGGAUGGUUUUAGUCUGUUACUAUUGAUUUUAUCUGUGAUUGUUAAUAAUCAGUUUUUGUUGCUUUGAUUUUUGUU